rnacentral:rRNA from 1 species
CCUACGGGCGGCUGCAGUGAGGAAUCUUGCGCAAUGGGGGAAACCCUGACGCAGCAACGCCGCGUGAGUGAGGAAGGUUUUCGAAUCGUAAAGCUCUGUCAGGUGGAAAGAAAUGUAUGAAAGUUAAUAGCUUCCAUGCUUGACGGUACCACCAGAGGAAGCACCGGCUAACUCCGUGCCAGCAGCCGCGGUAAUACGGGGGGUGCAAGCGUUGUUCGGAAUCAUGGGGCCGAAAGGGUAAGUAGGCUGUGAAAGCCCUGGGCUUAACCCAGGAAGUGCAUUUGAUACUGCCUUGCUUGAGUAAGGGAGAGGAAAGCGGAAUUCCUGGUGUAGAGGUGAAAUUCGUAGAUAUCAGGAGGAACACCGGUGGCGAAGGCGGCUUUCUGGCCCUAUACUGACGCUGAGACGCGAGAGCGUGGGUAGCAAACAGGAUUAGAUACCCUGGUAGUC